ensembl:snRNA U6 U6 spliceosomal RNA
GUGCUCGCUUCGGCAGCACAUAUACUAAAAUUGGAAUGAUGCAGAGAUUAGCAUGGCCCCUGCACAAGGAUGAUGCACAAAUUCAUGAAGCAUUCCAUAUUUUU